GACGAACGCUGGCGGCGUGCCUAAUACAUGCAAGUCGAACGCACUCUCGUUUAGAUUGAAGGAGCUUGCUCCUGAUUGAUAAACAUUUGAGUGAGUGGCGGACGGGUGAGUAACACGUGGGUAACCUGCCCUAAAGUGGGGGAUAACAUUUGGAAACAGAUGCUAAUACCGCAUAAAACCUAACACCGCAUGGUGUAGGGUUGAAAGAUGGUUUCGGCUAUCACUUUAGGAUGGACCCGCGGUGCAUUAGUUAGUUGGUGAGGUAAAGGCUCACCAAGACCGUGAUGCAUAGCCGACCUGAGAGGGUAAUCGGCCACACUGGGACUGAGACACGGCCCAGACUCCUACGGGAGGCAGCAGUAGGGAAUCUUCCACAAUGGACGAAAGUACUGAUGGAGCAACGCCGCGUGAGUGAAGAAGGUUUCGGAUCGUAAAACUCUAGUUGUUGGAGAAGAAUGUAUCUGAUAGUAACUGAUCA
rnacentral:rRNA from 1 species